rnacentral:ncRNA from 1 species
GCAGGACUCGUUUGAUCGAGUGGCUAUCCCGAGCGCCGAUCCCUCGGGUUAAC